rnacentral:rRNA from 1 species
CCUACGGGAGGCAGCAGUGGGGAAUAUUGCACAAUGGGGGAAACCCUGAUGCAGCGACGCCGCGUGAGGGAAGAAGUAAUUCUUUAUGUAAAGCUCUAUCAGCAGGGAAGAAAAUGACGGUACCUGAGUAAGAAUCCGCGGCUAACUACGUGCCAGCAGCCGCGGGCAUACGCAGGGGGCAAACGUUAUCCGGAUUUACUGGGUGUAAAGGGAGCGUAGACGGGAGCGCAAGUCUGGAGUGAAAGGUGGGGGGUCAAACCCCGGACAGCUCUGGAAACUGUCCGGCUGGAGUGGGGGAGAGGUACGUGGAAUUCCUGGUGUAGCGGUGAAAUGCGUAGAUAUUAGGCGGAACACCAGUGGCGAAGGCAGCGUACUGG